AGAACUAGAGUUCGUCAUUUAUUAAAAAAAAUAAUUUCCAAUGAACUAAAGAGGGUUAUUAAGUUACCUCCUUUAAAAUAUUUUACGUCUUAAAAAGUAUCUCCGAAAGGUUUGUAAAACGAACUUAACUCGAAUCACCGAAGAAAUAAUAAUAGCAUCGACCAGAUAAAAUAUCAUCUCAUGUCUCAUGAUACAGUUCAGUACCGAACCUCGUCGUUGGUAAAUUCACUGAUUCUGGUUCUGUUUCUUACUGCGGCCGUAAUAUAUUAUAGAGGGCGUAAGAAAACGUCGAAUUUUUUCGCCGCCACGAACUCCCAUAAGGAUGGCAGUCUUUAACAGUAUCUCGUCGGUGGUUCAAGCCGUGGUCGUGAUCAAGUGCAUCAGCACCACGUCAGCAUAAUAGGAUUCAUUGAACAAAAGUUUCUCCGAUUUGGCAGGUCGGUAUUACAGCAGUUUUUUCGUUGGGCCUGGUGGAGCCACUUGCGUGUUCUUGUACACGAUCUAAGAAGGCAACAGCGCCUCAAGUAUUUUUACAAAACGUUCAUCUCUUCAGAGGCAUCGGGACGAUUCGCGUAAAGAAUGAAAGCGAAACAUCGGCGCGUGUUUAGAGUGAGAUGUACGGUGAUCAUGCUAUCCUUCUUUCAACCCAAAUGAUAGAAUUGUCCCGCUCCGGUAAAUUUUGACUGACCAAACGCGUGGAGUUUAUAUAGCGUACCGUAGCACGCCUCGCUGCUGAGAAAUAUAUGCCUACACUGAAGAACCGAAGGAACGUGCAAUCUGAGAAUUUUUUUUAGAAAAAAAAAAAUAAACGUAAUCAAGCUAAUGCCUGAUUCUGGCUACGAUUCCAAAUCGGUAGUCUUUUUAGUUCGACGCUACCUUAUAACUACUAGCGUUGAAAACUUUACCGACAGUCCCUAGAAAAAUCCCUAGAACGUACAUAGAACACAAAUUACAUCGUCAUUACUAAACAGAAUGCAACAAAAUUUGAGGGACGUGUUCAGGAGGCCCUAAAGAAUGGCACGCUAGUCCUUAUAUUAUCCGAAUCGUCAAAAAGUUCUAAAAUAUUGAUAUUUAUGUCUGUUAACGGUCAAGAAAAUAGCGGAUCGGACUCACCUGCACCAGGGUACGUCAUGCAAUUGGGACGGGUUAUACCUUGAAUUUGGCAAAAGAUAGGAAAAAGCUGUUCAUGUAAAAGUUGAAUGUAUGAUUAAACUUCCAUCGAAGCAUUAAUUCGCACCUAGUGCGGCGUAGAACCAAGUUUAAGUCGAUGGAAACGUGACUGACUGUGUUCAUUUCACUCCCGUUUCGAUCCACAAGCUUUGACGGAGUGGUAGCGAUUUUAUACAAAAUUUAAUCGGUGGAAACGGUUGAAACAGAUUCAAAAUAGAUAGUGCCAACCUUUACUUUUUAUUAUUCAGUUACCAAAAUGGAAAAUAAACGUGAUGUAUGGUCAUAAGAUGAAACUUUGACAUUAAUUAAUAUUUUAAAAGAGAAGGAAAUUUUGAAGAUCACGGACAACAAGAGAUUUCACAUCGCUUGUGAGUUUGUGUACAUUUAGCAAACAAAACUUAAGUUGGCUCUACUGAAAUAUCAAUGUUCCUCAUUUCUACUCCACUGCCAGUGGAAACAGUACAUUAAAUUCGAUGCGCACCGGAGCAGGAACGGAUUUAAGACUUCGGUGGAAACUAACUCUAUGAUAAUGUCUAUUUUUAUAUGAUUUUAUUUUCUUCGCGCACUCAAUUCAACGAUGCACUCAAAAAAUGCAGAUGCACUUUUUAUUUAAAUAGAAUUACAUAUUUUUUUUACUCGUAUCAACUCCUUAGAACAUUCUGCAUAAAAAAGUACUGUGGUACUAUUAGAACUAAUAAAUCCAAGUUCUUUAACACAAAACCUUUUAUUUCUCCCAAAAAACACAGAAAUAUAGAAUCGCUCGUGAUCAUAACAUAAUUGACAUAACUAAAAUCGCUUCGUUCCGCCGCGCUCGCGUUUACUGUGCGUUGCAGCUAAGUUGCCGCCCAAUCAAAUUCGUUGACCUGCCUCCAGUCACACGUAUUAAGGUCGAUUUAUAUUAUCCGUUCAGACACGGGCCGUUUCCGAUUAGUUAGGUUCCGAUAAAUAUUGUUCUGUGUUAUUGAAUACGAGUGUUUAUAUAUACCGUGAUGGAUUGGUUCAGACGCAUUCCGUUUCAAAUAUAAGACGACCAAUACUACAUCGUUUUUUUCGGAACCUAACUGAUCGGAAACGGCCCGUGUCUGAACGGAUAAUAUAAAUCGACCUUUAUGUUUAUUGGCUGAGGCCCUUACAUCCACAAAUCUAUCGCGUGACGAACGUCGCCAAGGACAGACAUUGAAACAGAAUGAGAUGAAGCGAUAGCGAGCGGCGAAUUCAAUGCAUCGGCGUAGAGGUAGAUUCGGGGUUUACAUUAUUAAGAAAACAGGAGAGUUUUUAUAUUUUCCAUAAAUUUUGCAUAACAACUGUUGUCAAGAACGAGUAUUAUAAAAAAUCCAUUAAUAUCCCCCAAAAAAUCGCAUGUUUAUAUAGUUAAAUGUAUCUUCCGCGAAUAUGGAAAUUUUACGCCUAUGCAAUCCGGCCGCUCACUUCUCAAGUUACGGGCUCCUGGAGGGGAUUAGGUGGAGCGAACGCACAGUUCUCUUGCCACUCUGACGGUUCAGUUUGUUGGUGCUCGGCAACUUGGCUGCAACGCACAGUACAUAUAUCUCCUUCUCUCCCCUCUCUACUAUUCCCUCUUCUAUUUCGCUAAUGCGCCUAUGUCUAACAGUACAAUGUUUAAAAAAUUAAUAUUUUGUGAGAUCACAUAUUUUUCAUAAGUUCAACUUUUACAUUAAUAGCUUUUUCCUAUCUCUUUCCAAAUUCAAGAUAUAACUCGUCCCAAUUGUGUGACGCACCUUGUACUUUUAGAAACCUAUAGUAACUUUAUUUUUCGAAACUAAUAAAAAAUACAGAGGAGUAUUAGUCAAUAUUCUGAGUGACUGCGAAUAAUUUAAAUAAAUAAAUAUCUCACAUACAACUUAUGUAAACAUUUGCAGAAUUAUUGCAAAGAGGAGGUAUAUUCGUCCCUUGUUAUACCUCCUCUUUGAGCAAGGUUUAUUAUGGGGCGCUGUAAAAAAUCCAGGCGGGCGUCAGUCAAAACUUAGCGAAAAGGGACAAUUUCAACAUUCAGAAUGAGUAGUACGUCUCACUUAGCGUUCGGGCGUUGUUGCCUUUUCCACUUGCCUUUGCAGCACAGUUCGAGUGACGUAAUUAAGCUAACGCCUGAUUCUGGCAGUCUUUUUAGUUCGACGCUACCUUAUAACUACUAGCUGAACUAAAUUUGUCACGUGACUUGCUGUGUAUUAUCCACAAAAUGGCGGAACUGGUUUGUAGGAAUGCAAUUACGGGAAUCGGUUAUUCGUUCUUGUAUGAGAAGAUUUUGAGCUGAAUAAGGGCUCAUUCGAAAGAGGAAUGCAGGGGGUUCAAUGCAGGGGAUUCAGGUCAUCGUUUGAGUCAGAAAACUCUUUUAGUGACCUAAAAAUACUUGGAUUCUGCGGGUGUAUUUUCUCGAUUUUUCCUCUACUUUGGACACUCAUAUUAUUAGAUAUCAAUACAAUCUCGUUGAACCAUGACCUGAGCCCCCUGCAUUGAACCUUCCUCUUUCGAAUGAGCUCCCACUCAGCCCCAAAUCUUCUCAUGUAAAGACAAAUAACCGAUUCCUGUGAACCCCUUAAUAGGCCCAUUUUUGUCUGGGGUAGAUACUAGAGUCCGGGAUUUUUCGUUUUUCGUCCUUAUAUGAGAAUAUUUGAGGCUGGGCGAGGGCUCAUUCGAAAGAGGAAGGUUCAGUGCAGCGCGCUCUGGUCAUGAUUCAACAAGAUUUUGUUAAUAUCUAAUAAUAUGAGUGUCCAAAGUAGAGGAAAAAUCGAGAAAAUACAUCCGCAGAAUCCAAGGUAUUUUUAGGUCACUAAAAGAGUUUUAUGACUUAAAUGAUGACCAGAGCGCACUUCACUGAACCUUCCUCUUUCGAAUGAGCCCUCACCCAGUCUGAAAUAUUCUCAUAUAAGGACAAAAAACAAAAAAUCGCGAUUGCAUUCCCACAGACGAGUUCUGCCAUUAUCUGGAUAAUACAGAGCAAGUCACGUGACAAAUUUAGUUCAGCUAGUAGUUAUAAGGUGGCGUCUAAGUAGAAAGGCUUGUCGUCUCCCACUUUUCGCAGCCGGUGGAGUGGAGAGAUCGACCAGCAUGGCUGAACUGUCAAGGAGUUCGUUACUGACCGUCCAGCUGUAAAGACCGCGUCCAUGGGAACGCCAUUCUAACACGCAAUAAAGUCAAGUACGAUAGUUCUAACCAGAACAACCGUUACAUUCAUUCUCACCCGCUGCAGGUCCCAUCAGGCUGCCGAUUCAUAGCCAGAAUCAAGCGUUAGCUUGAUUACAUCACUCGAACUGUGCUGUGAAGGAACCGGAGGACUUUCCCACUCAUCGGGUGAUCGCGCCAUGUCUUCACCCACCUGCAAAGCGAGGACGGGACUUCUUCUUCGGCCACGACCAGGAACCGGAGCACCCUGCUCAACGGGUGGUCGCGCCUCGUCUUCACCUGCCUGCCAUUUGCGAGGGCAGGGCUUCCUCUUCGGCCACGAUCAGGAACCGGGACACCCUGUCUCUCGAGUGAUCGCGCGAUGUCUUCACCUGCCUGCCAUAUGCGAGGACAGGGCUUCCUCUUCGGCCACGAUCAGGAACCGGAGGAAUCCCACUCAACGUGGUGAUCGCGCCAUGUCUUCACCCACCUGCAAAGCGAGGACGGGUCUUAUCUUCAACACGGCCAGGUCCCGGGGCGAGUCCUUCCCCCGGUCAGCCGUGCCACGUCUUUUAGGCUGCAAUCCUCGGUGUCUUGUUCCAUACAUACUCCCCACACACACACACCGCCCCUAUCAAGCAUAGCGCAUCAAAUGCCCAAACUAGCCAAAGGCGUCAGCAGUAAUACCAACCACCAACACCAAGCACGUGGCGUCAUCACGCCGCCAAAUCGACCGUCAGAAUAAAUAAGAGAGGAGAAGAGAAAUAUAGAUCAAGGAAACCGCAAAAUAAUCAAUAAAUAACACGAACACUAGGAAAUUCCCUAAAAGGAAAAGGAAAACUCAGUCCGCACGGCGCCCAACGGGGAAACGCCCAGUGAUCAGUGAUCCGUCGAUAAUUGCCGAGAAACCAGUCAAAAUCAAAAUUCAAAACUCAAAACACAAACGUUAUCCUAUGUAGAUAUAGGCGGCCACGCAUCGUCGCGAGACAUUACCAUUGUAAGCACUUACCAUGGAGCAAUUAGUUGUAUACCCCAAAAUUAAAGAUAAGAGCGAUAACAAAAUAUAAUCUACAAUAAGAAACGAGUGUAAAUUGUGUAAAUUCGACAGAAUACAAGGAGUAGCAUGUACAAGAGAAAACGAGCAAAAUAUAGCUUACAUAAACCAUCAUAA